rnacentral:rRNA from 1 species
UACGUAGGGGGCGAGCGUUGUCCGGAAUCAUUGGGCGUAAAGCGCGUGUAGGCGGCCGGGUAAGUCCGGUGUGAAAACUCGAGGCUUAACCUCGAGAUGUCAUCGGAAACUAUUCGGCUAGAGUCCGGAAGAGGAGAGUGGAAUUCCUGGUGUAGCGGUGAAAUGCGCAGAUAUCAGGAAGAACACCUAUGGCGAAAGCAGCUCUCUGGGACGGUACUGACGCUGAGACGCGAAAGCGUGGGGAGCGAACAGG